AGUGGGGACCUACAUGCCUCUAACGCCGAAGCAUGAGCAGAGAGUCGAAAGGCAAACUGCCAGGAAAAAAAAUCAAUCCUCUGCCCAAGGUCCAGCAGAAGCGGCCUCAUUUACCUAUAGGAGGCGGGCUUCCUCCUGCGGGGAAUCCCUGGGCUGGGAGGAACAGCAGCCCUUCCUCCUGGCAGCUUCGGAGACUUCAGCAGGUGCUGGCACAGCCCUGGCUGGGACGCGGGGUGGGAGCAGGCCCAGCAUGGGGGCUCAGGGGCAGGAAGCGGGACGCCAGGGCCCGGGAACACGGACACCUGCGUCCUCGGGGCCAGGGAGGAAUCCUACAGUGGCAGGGGCUUGGGCUGUCUCUUUCUCUCUUUGUCCAGAGCCUUAUGUAAGAGCUUUUCUUGGGAAACAGGAAGUCCUGCCUGCCAAGUUCAGCACACAGGGAGUAGUGCAGGCCUUAUUCCAACACACCCGGCCUGGCCUUAACCCCAGAACUCAGCCAGUUUCUUGCUUCCGCGACCCUGGUUCUCCUCCCCACUGACGCCCUCCCCUUCUUUCCCACCUUUGGUCUCUCUCAGCAAACUGCCCCAGAGAUCUCGCCUGUGCCCGGGCCAGAGGGUCUUCCACUCUCACCCCUCGACCCUCAAUGCUGCCCAGCUCGUCCCUCCAUCCCGGCUUCUGGCACCAUGCCCCAUAGCCAGCCAACCUUCCCUCCCCCACUUCUGGGGCCGCCCUGGGGUUCCUGUGCUCUGGCCGCUCCUCCUGGGUGUCACUGGCAGCCCUGUCCUUCUUAGAGAGACUGACAACAAAUUCUCCUGAGGCUGGAGGAGGGUGAGGGGUCUCAGGACAACACUGGCCCCGCAGCGGGGUGCCAGGAGCACCAACAGUGCCCCGAGCUUGCUUUCUGCCUCCCUCCUUUUUAUUCUCAAGUUCCUUUUUAUUUCUCCCUUGCGUAACGCCCUUCUUCCCUUCUGCACCACUGCCUGCACGCCGACCCUCCCCGUCACCUCCUUGCUACCCCACUCCUGAGGCUACAGCUGUUGGCAGGGUCCCCAGCUCAUGCCGACCUCAUCUCCUUCUUUACUAGCCCCCAAAGGGCCCCCGGGAGACAUGGGGGGCCCAGUCCGAGAGCCGGCACUCUCAGUUGCCCUCUGGUUGAGUUGGGGGGCGGCUCUGGGGGCUGUGGCUUGUGCCAUGGUUCUGCUGACCCAACAAACAGAGCUGCAGACCUUAAGGAGAGAGGUGAGCCGGCUGCAGAGGACCGGAGGGCCCUCCGAGAAGGGGGAAGGGUAUCUGUGGCUGAGCCCCCGGGAGCAGAUCCUGGAGGACAGCCAGCACCAAGACUCAGGUUGCUGGGGAAAGAGCUCUGAUGGCGUGGAAGCCCUGGAGAAUGGGGAGAGAUCCCGGAGAAGGAGAGCAGUAAAACAGAAGAAGAAGCGCUCAGUCCUUCAUCUUGUUCCCGUUAACAUCACCUCCAAGGAGGACUCGGAUGUGACAGAGGUGAUGUGGCAACCGGCUCUCUGGCGUGGGAGAGGCCUGGAGGCCCAAGGAUAUGUCAUUCGAGUCUGGGAUGCUGGAAUCUAUCUGCUGUACAGCCAGGUCUUGUUUCAUGAUGUGACUUUCACCAUGGGUCAGGUGGUAUCCCGGGAGGGCCAGGGAAGGCAGGAGACUCUAUUCCGAUGUAUACGAAGCAUGCCCUCCAACCCCGACUGGGCCUACAAUAGCUGUUACAGCGCAGGUGUCUUCCAUUUACACCAGGGGGAUACCCUGAGUGUCAUAAUCCCCCGGGCAAGGGCGAAACUUAGCCUCUCUCCACAUGGAACCUUCCUGGGGCUUGUGAAACUGUGAUUGUGUUGUAAAAGGUGGUUCUGAGCUUGGAAGACCAGGGUGGGUUCAUUUUGGAGACAGCCAAGAGCUGACUAGACAAAAGACAGGGAACAGUCAGGAACAGAGGCCUCUUCUGGGUUUGACUGGAAUCCCAGGUAUCCUCUGCCUCUCCACUCCACAAGAAGCCUCAUCUUCACUCUCCUCUCUCCAUCUAUUGGGGCCCAGUUUCCAUCACUGACUCCAGAGGUGUAAUUAUUAUGCGCCCGUCUGCAG